GGAGAGGCCAUUCAGUGUGGUAAGACUGCUGCUCCAAUGACCAGGUCAAAGAACCUCACUGCUGAUCAAUAGAGUCAGCAGCACCAAUGGGAUGCAAGGCAGAGCUCGUCUGGUCCAUCUUUAGGAAAGACGUGGCAUUAUCUCAGAACCAUCUGGUUGCAGUACGAAUGAGAAGGGAAAGGAGGUUGUGAGCACUGGUCACGUAGCCUUGCGUUGCUAUUUGCAAACACCAACAAUCAAGCCAUUUCCUGCCAGAAGGUCAGGGAAUAGCUUAGUUUCAGGAAAGAAUGGAGCUUCAAGGAACAAGAGCAAGAACCUUCAGAAGCUAGUGGGGCCACUCAACAAGAAAACUUUGAAACACUGAGAUGUGUGGAACUUCUUGGAACAUAGGAACAGUCUCUGGACGCAGUGAAAGUGUGCAUGAUCCUCCAAUCGAAUCUUUCUACACGAGACAGAUCUGGAUUCGGCUGAGCUGAUGCCAAGAGUCAGGCUCAGAUGACAUCUGUGGCUUCUGUGGCUCAUGCUCCACCCAUGCCUCUUUUUAAAUCCACAUUGAUGAUGAUGGAAGGGUUGGAUUAGCCCGCAAUUUUAAGGGUGACUGGCCUUGAGAGGACGAUAAAGGAGCCCAGCAGUUUUGAGCACCCUACAACACAAAGCCACUGAGGCUUGGAGUUGUUACUGGGAACAGACUGGACCACGUUGUGUGUCUUCGUACGUGCUGUUCUUGUACUAUUCACCCUGCCUUUCUUCACAUGGUCAACUUCUGUGAAGAUCAGAGCCCCGCCUGCCCCUUUAAACAGCAUGGAAAGUUGCUAAAUGGUACUUCCAUUGUUUGUGAACAGGCAUUCAUUGAUUAUUUAACCAAUUCCAUUGUUCUCCCAUGUAAUUUCCUCAUCUCAGUUCUUGAACACAGUAGGCAGAGCGUGAACAAACACACAGAUCCAUUAUCUGAUAAAUAAAAUGUUACAGGAGUCUAUUAAAUUACCUG
rnacentral:lncRNA from 1 species